rnacentral:rRNA from 1 species
GACGAACGCUGGCGGCAUGCCUAAUACAUGCAAGUCGAACGCUGAAGCACUCUGCUUGCAGAGUGCGGAUGAGUGGCGAACGGGUGAGUAACACGUGGGAAAUCUGCCUAGGAGUGGGGGAUAACAUUCGGAAACGGAUGCUAAUACCGCAUAUCUUUUUGAACCGCAUGGUUCUUAAACGAAAGACGGCUUCGGCUGUCGCUCUUAGAUGAUCCCGCGGCGUAUUAGUUAGUUGGUGGGGUAAAGGCCUACCAAGACCAUGAUACGUAGCCGACCUGAGAGGGUGAUCGGCCACACUGGGACUGAGACACGGCCCAGACUCCUACGGGAGGCAGCAGUAGGGAAUCUUCCACAAUGGGUGAAAACCUGAUGGAGCAAUGCCGCGUGAAUGAAGAAGGUCUUCGGAUCGUAAAGCUCUGUCUUCAGGGUACGAUAAUGACGGUACCUGAGGAGGAAGCCACAGCUAACUACGUGCCAGCAGCCGACGG